rnacentral:lncRNA from 1 species
UCGAGUAGAACAAGUAACUAUAUUUUGCAUGCGAGGUGGGACCCAACGCUAAACUGUGACAGUAAUCGUCACCGUCACUGGGACGAGAUUUCUUCUUCUUUUAGCUUGUCUGUGAACCACACAACGCUAAACUGUGACAGUAAUCGUCACCGUCACUGGGACGAGAUUUCUUCUUCUUUUAGCUUGUCUGUGAACCACACAAGAUACAGCCACAAGAACAGGUGAUAAAUGUUACUGCAGUUUUUUUUUUUUUUUUGUGAGUAUAGGUUUUCUUUAAUGAUACACAUCGAGUACACGUUAAAUACAACCUUAUGAGUAUAGUUUUUACUAAUUUUUGUU